rnacentral:lncRNA from 1 species
CAGAAUCUCUUGAGGAUAUCCUUUUGGAGAAAUCCUUUUGGAGGAUCUCUGAUGAGGAUCUCUUGGGAAGAAUCUCUUGAGAGAGGCUCUGGAGAAAGGCCCUUUGGAACAGUCUCUGGCUGGAAGGCUCUCUGGUGAAGUCAGCUGAGAUUGAGCUGGCCUGGUGUCACUAGAAUCCUUGUUUAGUCAGACCUUGUGAACAUGGCUAUGUAAGAGAGAAGUUACAAAAGGAGAGAAAAAAUCAAUUCCAGCAAUGCAAAGGAACAGCCCAAGUGGAGAAAGAAGAAGGAAGACUCAAGAUUCCAGGAAGGAAUAGAGGAUCUGAGAAAAUUCCAAACUGCCAGCUUACUUCUGGCCCUUCUUCCAUCCCCCAUACCACAGAAGGCAUCACCCAGCAAACUAAACAGAUUUUGUCUUUCAUGUUUCCAGUUCUCAGUUCAUUCUCUGUAAAUGAACAUUCACAAAUGAUUCUUCAAACAUUAAAUUGGUAUCUGCAUAUACUGUUUUCUUAGUUCCAUUCAUUUCAGUUUCAUAAUAUUAUUCUAAGGAAAUAGUAAAGACUGGGCAUUUGCUGUUAUCUAGAGCCACUUUUCAAAGAUUCCAGGACUAAGCUAGCCUUCUUUGUGCUGAGAAUAUUCAUAUAGGUAGUCUAAUC